rnacentral:tRNA from 3 species
GGAGAGAUGGCUGAGUGGACGAAAGCGACGGAUUGCUAAUCCGCUGUACAUUUGUACCGAGGGUUCGAAUCCCUCUCUUUCCG